rnacentral:rRNA from 1 species
GAUGAACGCUGGCGGCGUGCCUAAUACAUGCAAGUCGAGCGAACAGAUGAGAAGCUUGCUCCUCUGACGUUAGCGGCGGACGGGUGAGUAACACGUGGAUAACCUACCUAUAAGACUGGGAUAACUUCGGGAAACCGUAGCUAAUACCGGAUAAUAUUUUGAACCGCAUGGUUCAAUAGUGAAAGACGGUUUUGCUGUCACUUAUAGAUGGAUCCGCGCCGCAUUAGCUAGUUGGUAAGGUAACGGCUUACCAAGGCGACGAUGCGUAGCCGACCUGAGAGGGUGAUCGGCCACACUGGAACUGAGACACGGUCCAGACUCCUACGGGAGGCAGCAGUAGGGAAUCUUCCGCAAUGGGCGAAAGCCUGACGGAGCAACGCCGCGUGAGUGAUGAAGGUCUUCGGAUCGUAAAACUCUGUUAUUAGGGAAGAACAAAUGUGUAAGUAACUAUGCACGUCUUGACGGUACCUAAUCAGAAAGCCACGGCUAACUACGUG